CUGCCUUAAUGGUGUAGGUCGACAAAUGGGGGUGGUCGGGGUUGUGGACGCCCGUGCACUGAAGGCCGGGUGCGGGGAGGUUUGUCUUCUUAACUUUUUUAGUAACUGGGAUAAUUCUUCUAGCAGGGGGUGAUCGAGAGUCGGGGUUGGAUUGGUAUUGAUGCUGUCCAGUAGGGGGCGGUGUAGUUGGGGAAGGGCAGGGUUGGAGUUGUCCAGCAGGGGGCAGUCUAGUUGGGGAAGGGUAAGGUUGGAGUGGUCCAGCAGGGGGCAGUCUAGUUGGGGAAGGGUAAGGUUGGAGUGGUCCAGUAGGGGGCGCUGUAGUUGGGGAAGGGUAAGGUUAAAGUGGUCCAGCAGGGGGCGCUGUAGUUGGGGAAGGGUAAGGUUGGAGUGGUCCAGCAGGGGGCAGUCUAGUUGGGGAAGGGUAAGGUUGGAGUGGUCC
ensembl:lncRNA